GCGGGUAUAGCUUAGUAGUAGAGCACAUGCUUAGCAUGCAUGAGGUCCUGGGUUCAAUCUGGUACCUCUG
rnacentral:tRNA from 1 species